GUGGGGAAUUUUCCACAAUGGGCGAAAGCCUGAUGGAGCAAUACCGCGUGAGGGAUGAAGGAUCGUGGUCCGUAAACCUCUUUUCUUAACGAAGAAGUUCUGACGGUAGUUAAGGAAUAAGCACCGGCUAACUCCGUGCCAGCAGCCGCGGUAAUACGGGGGGUGCAAGCGUUGUCCGGAAUGAUUGGGCGUAAAGCAUCUGUAGGUGGUUCUUAAAGUCGACUGUUAAAGCCCAGGGCUCAACUUUGGAAAAGCGGUCGAGUACUUAAGGACUUGAGUUUGGUAGGGGUAGAGGGAAUUCCUUGUGGAGCGGUGAAAUGCACAGAGAUAAGGAAGAACACCGAUGGCGAAAGCACUCUACUGGGCCAAGACUGACACUGAGAGAUGAAAGUCGGGGGAGCGAAAAGGAUUAGAUACCCUGGUAGUCC
rnacentral:rRNA from 1 species